UCUUGGCUCAGCUAAGCCUGUACUGUAGGA
rnacentral:piRNA from 1 species